ACAAUGGACAGAACAAAGGGCAGCGAAACCGCGAGGUUAAGCCAAUCCCACAAAUCUGUUCUCAGUUCGGAUCGCAGUCUGCAACUCGACUGCGUGAAGCUGGAAUCGCUAGUAAUCGCGGAUCAGCAUGCCGCGGUGAAUACGUUCCCGGGCCUUGUACACACCGCCCGUCACACCACGAGAGUUUGUAACACCCGAAGUCGGUGAGGUAACCUUUUAGGAGCCAGCCGCCGAAGGUGGGACAGAUGAUUGGGGUGAAGUCGUAACAAGGUA
rnacentral:rRNA from 1 species